ensembl:lncRNA
GAAAGGGCAGCAGAGAGAAUCGCAAAGAGGGAACCCGGGGGUUUCCCCCCAGAAGCGGGAUCUGUGCCUCGCCAGAGACACGAAGGCAGAGCAAAGCAGAGUUCAAGAAAACAUCAGAAAGACGUUAUUGAAUAGCUGUCAUUUGGCAAGUAUAAAUGUAUCAGCGAUUGUGUUGAUAGGAGGCUCUUAUCAAUGCAGAUUAAUUUGAUAAUUGCCCGUGCAGAGAAAGAAAACAAACCAACUAAGUCCAUUGCCACUGACAUCCGAAACGCCUCCCUUGGUUAAAUGAAUUUCCUUUUUUAACUUAUCUUGAAGUAAUACGAAAGUUAUGGUGUAGCCACAAUCAAAAACCACCCCCCCCAUGUUAUUCCCUUUUUGACCUAUCUCAUUUUUGGCAUCAGCCCGACAGCCCGGAGCAAUGGAGGGCCAAGGGCUUUAUUUGUCCCUUUGGGGAGGAUGAAAAGGCUGUAGAAAAAAUGGCAGUUUUGCUGAGGAUCCCAUCCUUCAGCCUCCCCACGGUGCAGCUCACACGUCCCACACUGGCGGCUGCAGGGAGCGCGUGCUGGGGCAGCACUCAGCGAUGUCAAACGCACCCUGCAAAUGGCCCCAGAUGACAUUUUUAGAGAGGCUCUGUUAUCGGAGCCUACGGAAUUAGCACCGUGCAACAUCCUCGGGCUGCAAGACGGCUCCUGCCAACGUCAAUGGCGGUGUGGUAUGGAGAUCAAAGGUAAAGCGCAGCCAAGGAACUGGUUUGGCUGGUGGGAGGGCAUGGGGGGAGCAGCCCCACCGAACCUCAAAAUGCUCCGGAAUGAAGACUUAUCCCUUGCCACUUGCCUAAAUUAGGCAACCUACGUGUGCAAUUCUUCAGGAAUACCCGCGAGUCGUUUAUCUGAAAAUGCAGCGCUAAAAGCAUUGCCCUUCUGACGAAGAGUUAAUCGCCCUGGGAAUAAAUCAGAGGUCUCACCCAUGCUGUGGGACUUCUCCCAGUGACACCACGUUCCCACUUGGAAACGAGUUUCUUUGUUUGCUUUUCCCCAGUUAUAUAAGGGACAUAAAUUUUUUGUUGCAGAGAGAACUCCAGGCAAUCCGCAUCUCCCUCCAAGGCGUUUCACUGUGGUUCAGCUUGAACACUGCUGCUGUUGCUGCAGUUUUCCAGCUUCUGCCUAUGUCUGCACUAAACCCCCCGCCCCAGGAAGUAACAGCCCGCAUGAAACAUCACUGCCUGACUCCAACCCCACAGAGCAAAGCCCUUUUGCACCCGCUGAUCCCUAUCCUACAAAGCAAAGAGGUUGAGAACAGAGAAGCUUAGGCCAGCACGAGGACGUGCCCAGCGAUGCUCCCCUGUGCAAGAGCACUUUGGGUGAGCAAAGCGGUGGAACCCAAGCAAACUCUGCUUUGCCACUUGACCCUUUUCCACAUCUCCCACAGCCCCCGGCUUUGCUCUCCUGGCAGCUCUGAGCUCCCCAGCCCCAUCCCUCAGCUCUGAAGGGGAGAGCUGGGGAGGGGAGGCCAUGCCGGGAAGGUCUCAGCAAGGGCUGGGUGCUCACGGCCGGCCGGCGCCGCAUUGCACGCAUACCAGCAAACCUCAGCAGCCCCGGAAGGGGAGCGCGGAUGCUCCCAGGCCAGGCUGCAAGGAAGUCUUAACCCCUUCCCCACUAUGGCCAAGAGGCUCCUUGAGAGCUGGAAGUCAGCAGGAGAGAGGAAUUCACUUAAAGGCCGAGCAUCCCAAUGCCACAUCCCUCCCUUCCUCAUGCUAGUCUAAAAAAUCCCUGGGAACACGGCUCUCCUCUUCCCCUUCCCAUGGCCCCGAGGGGGGGCAGGGGACAAUCCUCAGCCCUAGCCAGAAGCCAUAUGCGCUCCCAGCACAGCCCAGGUGCUGCAGAGCCCAGGGUACCUCUGCCCAGAGUCAAGGACUGUGAAACCCAUGCCCUGGGGGACCCAAGGGAUGGCCGCAGGCUGGUGAGGUUCACUCUGCACCCUGAGGGCACUGUGCGCUCCCGUGUUAACAGUGCCUAAAAUCAUGACAUCAAGAAGGGCUUCUCAUCAAUGUGGGUGAAGGAGAAACCCCCCAAAUGGGGUUUGCCCUCAGGUGGGUCAGUGUGAUCCCCCUGUGACUCAAGGCAGGUUGCUGCACAUGGCUGACUGCACCAGCCAAGUGCCACCCCACGUCCCUGUGUGCCCAGGGAUAUCUGGCCACCCCAUCUCCACAGCCCCUUUCUCAGCACAGUUUCUCACAACAGCUUAUUUAGUGCAGCAAAACCACACUUGUAGAUCCAACACUACAGCAAAGACUUUUCCUUUUUUUUUU